UACGUAGGGUGCGAGCGUUAAUCGGAAUUACUGGGCGUAAAGCGUGCGCAGGCGGUUCGUGAUGUCUGAUGUGAAAGCCCCGGGCUCAACCUGGGAACUGCAUUGGAAACUAGCGGGCUGGAGUGUGGCAGAGGGGGGUGGAAUUCCACGUGUAGCAGUGAAAUGCGUAGAGAUGUGGAGGAGCACCGAUGGCGAAGGCAGCCCCCUGGGCUAACACUGACGCUCAUGCACGAAAGCGUGGGGAGCAAACAGG
rnacentral:rRNA from 1 species